rnacentral:rRNA from 1 species
CAGUCGCCGCGGUAAUACGAAGGGGGCUAGCGUUGCUCGGAAUGACUGGGCGUAAAGGGCGCGUAGGCGGCUUGUACAGUCAGAUGUGAAAUUCCUGGGCUCAACCUGGGGACUGCAUUUGAUACGUACGGGCUUGAGUGGAGAAGAGGGUUGUGGAAUUUCCAGUGUAGAGGUGAAAUUCGUAGAUAUUGGAAAGAACACCGGUGGCGAAGGCGGCAACCUGGUCUUUAACUGACGCUGAGGCGCGAAAGCGUGGGGAGCAAACAGGAUUAUAUACCCCUGUAGUCCCUGUCUCUUAUAC